UUGAUCCUGGCUCAGAAUCAACGCUGGCGGCGUGCCUCAGACAUGCAAGUCGAACGCGAAAGCCCUUCGGGGUGAGUAGAGUGGCGCACGGGUGAGUAAUACGUAGGUAAUCUACCUCCGGGUGGGGAAUAACGACCGGAAACGGUCGCUAAUACCGCAUAACGCAGCGGCACCACAUGGUGACAGUUGUUAAAGCGGGUGAUCGUAAGACCUCGCGCCUAGAGAUGAGCCUGCGGCGGAUUAGCUAGUUGGCGGGGUAACGGCCCACCAAGGCGACGAUCCGUAGCCGGCCUGAGAGGUCGGACGGCCACACUGGCACUGACAUACGGGCCAGACUCCUACGGGAGGCUGCAGUCGGGAAUUUUGGGCAAUGGGCGCAAGCCUGACCCAGCAACGCCGUGUGAAGGAUGAAGCUUUUCGGAGUGUAAACUUCAUAAGAGUGGGACGAAUAAGUGGGGGAUAACACCCCCCAUGAUGACGGUACCAUUUGUAAGCUCCGUCUAACUCCGUGCCAGCAGCCGCGGUAAUAAGGU
rnacentral:rRNA from 1 species